rnacentral:rRNA from 1 species
GUGGCAGACGGGUGCGUAACACGUGAGAAACCUGCCCAACGGUGGGGGACAGCCGGCCUAACGGCCGGGUAAUACCGCAUACGCUCGUUUGGGGGCAUCCCUGGGCGAGGAAAGCAGCCGCAAGGUUGCACCGAUGGAGGGUCUCGCGGCCUAUCAGCUAGUUGGCGGGGUAACGGUCCACCAAGGCGACGACGGGUAGCUGGUCUGAGAGGAUGGCCAGCCACAUUGGGACUGAGACACGGCCCAGACUCCUACGGGAGGCAGCAGUGGGGAAUAUUGCGCAAUGGCCGAAAGGCUGACGCAGCGACGCCGCGUGUGGGAUGACGGCCUUCGGGUUGUAAACCACUGUCGGGGGGGACGAAUACGGGGCCUCAAAUAGGGGACCCUGGGUGACGGUACCCCCAAAGGAAGCACCGGCUAACUCCGUGCCAGCAGCCGCGGUAAUACGGAGGGUGCGAGCGUUGUCCGGAAUCACUGGGCGUAAAGGGCGCGUAGGCGGCCUGCUAAGUUGCGGGUGAAAUCCCGGGGCUUAACUCCGGGGCUGCCAGUAAGACUGGCAGGCUAGAGCACGGUAGAGGCAGAUGGAAUUCCCGGUGUAGCGGUGGAAUGCGUAGAGAUCGGGAAGAACACCAGUGGCGAAGGCGAUCUGCUGGGCCGUUGCUGA